UCUAGUGGAACUGACUUAAAUGACGUAUUUUAAAUAAAAUUAUUAUGGAUGAGAUUUUUGAAAGAAAAAAAAAAAUCAUCUAAAUAUUUUUGGUGAACUAAUUGUAAAUUUUAAUUAAUUGCAGGUAAUUUAUCUAUAAUUUUUCAAAAAAAACCUAACACUCACCCUAGAAUAAUUUUAUCAAUCAUGUCUUAAUAUUGGGAAUUGAUCUCAAGUUUCUAAUGUGGAAUCUAAAUCAUUCAUUAAUUAUAUUUGAUGUGAUCAGAAUUAUUAAAAGAAAAUGGAAUCGUGGAGAUUUUCGUUGGACUUCCUCAAAUGAAAAUUCCAAUGGUGAAAAUUUGACUCCCCUCAAUACCACAUUGGUAUGUUACCGUAUAAACUAUUUGUAUUUUUAUUUACGCCUAAAAGAAGUUUAGAGUGCCACUUCAGUCAACAAUGACAUAUAUAAAGUUGGAAAAUUGAACUUUGUACUCCACGUUUAGACUCAUAUUCUCACAUAUGUAAUUUUUGUCCAUGAUCUUCUUAAAAUAUCCUCAUAGUCGACACUUAAAAUUAAAAAAAUUAAAUAACUAAUUCACACAUACAUCCUUUCAAAAAUUCAGAAAAAAGUAAUUUUUUUUCUUUAAGAAAUCUAUCUUUGAAUUUUUCAGUAGUAAUUUAAAUUCAAAAUGUAUCUUUUGAUAGUUAUUUUCUACUUAAAAAAUUUAUUUUUAAAUUUUCCAAUUAACAAUAUAACUACAAAAAAAUUUAUUUUUUAAAAUUUUCAGUUCAAAAAAUAACCACCCAAAAUUUUAAAAACAAAAAAUAUAAUAAGUAAAAAAGUUUCUCAACUUUUCUUUUACUUCUAGAAAUUUCGAAACCGAAAAAAAAUAAUUACGCCAAUAAAUUUCUCAACUUUUUUUUAUCUCCAAAUUUUUUUCUUAUUGAAAAUUUUUAAAACAAUAAAUUUGGUAUAAAAAAAAAUCUCAAUUUUUCUUUUGUUUGUUCAAAAUUUAGAAAUUUUUUUUCCAUACUAGAAAUUUUGCAAAUGAAAAAUUUGGUAGACAACUCUUUUUUAAUAGUUUUUUUACCUAUUGAAAAUUUAGUACAUAAAAUUUUCUCAAUUUUUUUUUGUCCAAAAUUUUUUUAGUAGACAAUUUUUUUAAUAGGCAAAACUCUUUUUCAAUUUUUUUAACUAUCAAAAAUUUCAAAAUCGAUUUUUUUGUAUAUCAGAAAUUUUAAAAACAAAAAAAUUAAUAUGAAGUUAUUUUCUGAACUUUCUUUAUGUCUACCAAAAAUUCCCAAAAUGAAAAAUUUAAUACACAAAAAGUUUUCUAACUUUUUUUGCCAACCUAAAAUUUCAAAAAUAAUAUAUUUGAUAGACAAUUUUUUCGCAACUUCUUUUUGUCUUUCAGAAACUUUUUAAAACAAAAACUUUCAUAGAUAAAAAACAGAUUCAUAAGUAUUCAAUGAAAGAAAAGUAAAAGUAAAAAUAAUGAAAAUAAAAUUAUAUAUUUUUUAAAUUGACUUACAUCGAAGUGGAUAUCAAAUCUAAUUUUCAUAAAGUAGAAAACACUCGGUUAACAGACCCAAAUUAGAAUUAAUUUGGGCCUUAAAAGGUCCAACCAAAUCUGCUCCCAAAAUGAAUCUAAUUGGCAGUAUUAACAAAAAAAAGUUCAAUUAAGUAUCUUCGUAUUUUAAUUUUGACCGAAAAAUAAAUCUUACUAAUAUCUCAUUUUUAUUUUUCACGUGCACAAAUGAUAAUAUAGCAAAUAAAUCUUACUAGUUUUUAUGCAUGACUAAAGCGAUUAAUUCAACACUCCAGAUACUGCAGAACUUCUAUUUUGUUUUUUCGUAGUUCAAAGAGUAUUAUAGAAAAAGAAGUUUUGCCAAAAUUAUUUUUAAUUAUUUACUAUUGAGAGAAGAAUAAAUUAAGGGUAUUAUAAUAAAAAUAUAAACAACUUAAUCGAAUACUUUCAUUGGUAGUAUUAUAUUAAAGCGAUACGAAAAUAAAGAAAUGUACAUUUGUUUAAGGUCUUAGAUUGAUGUUUACUUCGACAUUUUGGACAUAUGUUGAGGCCUUUAAGUUCGCAAGCUCUUACAAAACCAUCUAAUUUGAAUACACCCGUCGCUUCUGUGAAUAAGACUACAAAUUACAAUACAGAUAUAAUGAGCAAUGUGUCAACUUCUGCGGAAGUGCUUGUUCGUGUCGAGAUCGUCAUAGGCUUUAUGACUGUUAUAGCAAUUAGCAACCAAGCACAAACAGCUCUUCAUUUAUCUUGCACGGGUCACCCAAAUUCGUACUACUAAGUUUUAGCAUUUGGAAAGUAUAACACACGUUUGUUAGGUUUUUUUAAUUCCUUGCUUGUUUUUCUUUUCAAGAACCAUGAGGUAUUAAUCAUAUUAAGCAAAAGGCGGAGUAUAAAUAGAAACUUAUACCAUGAUAGCCAACUGCAGAAAAUAAACUUAUACUAGCAUUCACAUUAAAACGGGAAAAUAAAGUACACUGAAAAAAAGCACCCUAAGCUAUCCAAAUCAAAACACACAUAAAGUUAUUCAAAAAGAGUCUUUGCAAAAUCAGAACCACCAAUUUCCAUCACCAACAUUCUGCUUAAUCAACUUCCUCAAUUUUGGGUCCAGCACCGCUUCCACUGCCAGUAGUAGGACCAUCCUCAUCCAUGGCUCCACCAGCAUCACCACCAGCACCCUGGUACAUCCUUGCAAUGAUAGGAUUGCAAAUUCCCUCCAAUUCCUUCAUCUUGUCCUCAAAUUCAUCAGCCUCUGCAAGCUGAUUUCCAUCAAGCCAUUGAAUAGCCUGGUCAAUAGCAUCUUCGAUCUUCUUCUUAUCAUCAGUUGACAACUUGGAGGCUAUCUUAUCAUCCUUGAUUGUGUUUCUCAUGUUAUAGGCAUAGUUCUCAAGUGCGUUUUUGGCCUCCACCUUCUUCUUGUGCUCCUCAUCCUCUGACUUGUACUUUUCAGCUUCCUGUACCAUCUUCUCAAUCUCCUCCUUGGAGAGCCUACCCUUGUCAUUGGUAAUUGUAAUCUUAUUCUUCUGUCCUGUUGUCUUGUCCUCCGCAGAGACAUUCAAAAUACCAUUUGCAUCAAUGUCAAAGCAAACAGUGAUCUGAGGAACACCCCUUGGAGCAGGAGGAAUACCCGACAAUUCAAACUUGCCCAACAAAUUAUUAUCACGGGUCCUCGUUCUUUCUCCUUCAUAUACCUGAAUCAAAACACCGGGUUGGUUAUCAGAGUAGGUUGAAAAUACCUGCUCCUUCUUGGUAGGAAUAGUUGUGUUUCUGGGAAUCAACACAGUCAUAACCCCUCCUGCAGUCUCCAAACCAAGGGAGAGAGGGGUAACAUCAAGCAACAACAGAUCCUGCACUUUCUCAUUGCCUUCGCCGCUCAAAAUAGCAGCUUGAACCGCAGCACCAUAAGCAACAGCCUCAUCAGGGUUGAUGCUCUUGCAAAGCUCCUUUCCAUUGAAGAAAUCCUGCAAAAGCUGUUGAACCUUGGGAAUCCUUGUUGACCCACCAACAAGAACAACAUCAUGAACGCUGUUCUUAUCCAUCUUAGCAUCCCUCAAACACUUCUCAACAGGCUCCAUACAUUUCCUAAACAGAUCCAUGUUGAGCUCUUCAAACCGAGCACGAGUAAUAGUAGUGUAAAAAUCAAUACCCUCAUACAAAGAAUCAAUUUCAAUGGUGGUUUGAGCUGUAGAGGAAAGAGUCCUCUUAGCCCUCUCACAUGCUGUUCUCAACCUCCUUAAAGCCCUAGGGUUUCCACUAAUAUCCUUCUUAUUUUUCCUCUUAAAUUCCUGAACAAAAUGAUUUACCAUCCUAUUAUCAAAAUCUUCACCUCCCAAAUGUGUAUCACCAGCAGUAGCUUUCACCUCAAAAAUACCUUCCUCAAUGGUGAGAAGCGAAACAUCAAAAGUCCCACCACCAAGAUCGAAAAUAAGAACAUUCUUCUCACCACUGCUGGUAGCUUUCUUAUCAAGUCCAUAAGCAAUAGCAGCAGCAGUAGGCUCAUUAAUGAUUCUCAUCACAUUGAGCCCAGAAAUAACACCGGCAUCCUUAGUAGCCUGACGCUGUGAAUCGUUGAAAUAAGCAGGCACAGUCACAACAGCAUUCUUCACCGUGGAACCGAGAUAAGCCUCAGCAAUCUCCUUCAUCUUCAUAAGAACCAUGGAAGAUAUCUCUUCCGCAGAAAACUGUUUUUCCUCUCCCUUGUAGUUCACCACAAUCAUUGGCUUCUCAGCAGGGCCAGGAAUCACCUUGAAUGGCCACAAUUUCAUGUCACUCUGUACUGAAGCAUCGCUAAUUCGCCUACCAAUUAAACGUUUAGCAUCUGCACACACGCCAAUUCAAACCAACACAUUCAACAAACGUUCCACUAUCAACGAUAUAAUUCACCAAAUAUUUUAUUACAGAGAAUUGGAAAAUUAAAAUAACACUAUAACAAAUCACGAUAUAUAAUUCAUUUUUAUACCCUAAUGUACAAAGACAAACAUUGUUACAGUAACUUGCUACAUACACAAAAACAGUGAAUUGAAUAAUUAAACCAACACUCUAAUAAACUACGAUGUUUAAGUCACAGAGUAACUUGAUCAGAAUAAAAACUGCGGAAAAUUAAGGUGUAAGAGGAUGAUUUUGAAAGUACUUACCGAAAACAGUGUUAGUAGGAUUCAUAGCGACCUGGUUCUUGGCUGCAUCACCGAUCAAGCGUUCUGUGUCGGUGAAUGCAACGUAAGAAGGGGUAGUUCUGUUCCCUUGGUCGUUGGCUAUAAUUUCAACGCGGUCAUGUUGCCAAACGCCGACGCAAGAAUAAGUUGUUCCCAAAUCGAUUCCGAUUGCCGGACCUUCACCUUUUCCAGCCAUAAUAAUCUCUCACAAAAUCGCGUUUCGAAUGAGAAAAAAGAAAUUAGUGUUUGUAGAAUACAGAAAAGAAUGAAUGAAAGCAAGUGUUAUUUUGUUUUUGAAACUGAAUUGAGUUGCAAGAGAGGGAAGUUCUGUGUUAAUAUAGGACAAGUUUGAUUUCUGGAAUGUUCGGUAUGGUGGUUUUUGAACCAUUGGAUUUGUGAUUUGGACGGUGGAUUAUUUGUUCCAUAAUUGUAUUUGUAAAAGCAGUUAUAGGAGGGCGGUGUGUGGGAUAUUCCAGCGUGGUCUAGGUGAUUCGAGAAAUUUCUGAUACGAAAUGUCACGCGUUGGAGUACCACGCGCUCAAACUAGCUGUUGGGUGUUGACGUGUGGCGGGGAGCUUGCGUCUCGCAUGAUUUUCUUUUAAAGUUUUCCCGCGCCAUUGGCUGUCGCCCUGGCAUUCUAUAUAACUAACCAAUUGGAUUUUACUUCAAAACUCUUGUUAUUGCACGAAUGCUUCGUUAUUCAUAUGUACAAGUACUACAUUUAAAUUUCAAACAAAAUUUUAAUUUUAUAAAUAAGUAUUUCUACAUAAAUUAUAGGUUUAGAUGAGUCGAUAUAAAAUUAUUUAUACUUUUUGUACGUAUUAUGUCAAUAGUCAGUAGUGUAUAUUAUAAACAUUUUUCUUUCAAAAAAUAUAAAUAAGCACAAUCUUAGACAUAACUAAUUAGAUAAAAAUCAUGAAUUAAGUGAAACUUAUGGUUUUAAAUUCAAAAUAAUUUUGAUUAGAUUUUAUGAAAUAUAUUUAAAUUUAAAUUAACUACAAAAAUAAAACUUAAAUUUAUGUAUGUAACAAAUGAUUUAAAAAAUUAAUUAGAUAAUAAUAAAAUAAAAUAAUUAAAAUUUUAAAUAGAUGAUUAACUUGCCACAAAUCAUAAUUUUUAUAAUCUGUCUCAUAUAAAGGGGACAUUAUUAUUUUCUUUUUUACUCAACCACAUAAUUUUUUUUAAAUAACUGUAUAAUUUUGUUACUUUUGUUAUUUUAUUUGAUAAAUAUUAACCAUUGAGAUACUUAGUAAAAACUAUAUUUAAUAGGUAAAAAAAAAAUGUCAGAUAACAUUUUAUGAUAACUAAUCAAAGAAAUCUUUCGAAAGAUCAUUUUAAUAACUCAGAGCUUCAAAAUCAUCACAAACUGAAACAUUAACAUCAAACGUGAACUUAACAUUUCGAAAUUCAAGUCAAUAUAACUCAUGUUUUCAAAGAGAUGUUUGAAAGAAUUAAGACUUACAGUGAGAGAUGAGGAUGUUGAAGUAUAUACUAUGAAGUUAAGAGGGAAAGUGAUUAUGUAUUUAUUUUGCUUUUCUGACAAAUAAAAAUUUUAUAAUUAUUUUUAUUACUUAUAAUUAUUUUAUAUUUGAUUGGUUAUGUCUAACUAUUAAUGAUUAGGUGAGUGUUCAAGAAUUUCUCCCAAAAUUAUAUUAUUUUAUGGUAUCACUAAAUUAUUAAUUAUUAAUGUUUAUUUUGCUAUUAAACCUUUUACUAUGUAUUACUUUGUUUUUUUUUCCAAUUUUUUAAAUUUAUUUUUCUUAUAUCAUUAAUGAACGAUAUUUUAUAAAAAUUACUCAUAAUUUCUUUUUUUAUAUAACAUUGAUAAAAUAUCUUAAUUGAUGUGAAAUUGGAAAAAUGACAUAUAAUUUGACAUAAACAAAGUAUUAAUACAAAAAUACUUUUACAAAAUUUGCACUAUGUAAUUAAAUUUAAGAUAAUAUGUUUAACAUCAAAUUAAUUACAUCAAUAACUUAUUAUUUAGAAUGUUAAAAAAAUCAUUUGGUGAAAUAUGUUUAUGAUAAUUAUCACUGCUUUUGUCCCACAAUAUUUGUUUGGUAACUUCAAUUUAUUUAUGGAAAUAAUAUAUGUUUCCAAAACAAAUGAUACAUUUUUACGGCAUUUACAUAAUUCAUAUUAUUAGUAAGUAAUCCAAAAUAGAAAACAAAUUAGUCCAAAAAAAAAUGAAGUUAAACUAUUAUGAUAUACUAUUUUAAAAUGGUCAUCACAUGCAUGUUAUAUGUAGCAGACAAAUUUAAAAUAAAUAUUUUAAAAUGAUAAAAGUUGUUUAAUGUGCUUUACUUAUGCUUUAUUGUCCACUUAACAUGUUAAGUUUGAAUUUUCGUUGAAAGAUGUACCAACUUUAAUAUAUGAUAUAACUCAAAUAAGAUUAUAUUUGGUGAAGAUAACUUAUGGAAAACUAAAAAAACAUGUACUUAUGAAUGAAAUAAAUGUUUAAUGAUUUUCUAAUAUGUCACAUUUACUUUUUCAAGAUUUGUAUCGUAAUCUUUGUUUAUGGUGGAUACUAUUUUAUAAUAUUCUUAUAUUAUAAUCUUAAAUAGUUUAGAAUAUAAAGUAUGAUGUAUGUCAUUUGCAUGAUCAAAAAAUUUGUUUAAUAAAUCUAUGUUUUGAACAAAGGAAAGAAAAAGAAAAAGUUAGAGAAGAAAAUAAAACAUUUAUAUCAAAAAAGAAUUCCUCUCAUUUGUUACAUAUUGAAAAUGGAAAGAAAUAAGUAUAUUUGGUGGAAUCCACUCAGUCUUUCUUUUUCCUCAAAUUGAAAAUAUGUCUUUAGUGUCUGCAAAUAUACUACUUUUGAUUAGUCCUCGUAAGUUUUUUUUGUUUAAAUUUAGUCCGUGUAAAAUCAAAGACGGUUGAUUUUGGUCCCUAAUGUCAAAUCAAAAGUUAUAAAAAAAAUUGUCAAACUGCUGUGACACGGAAGAAGACGGGUUUUCUAAAACUCCUAAACCCCACUUUUAAUUUCUAUUCAUAUUUUUUUUACAAAAUAACACUAAUUAUUAAAAGAUAAUUAAUAAAUUUAUUAAUUAAUAAUAUAAAACAUUUUAAUUUUUAAUAUAUUACAAGAGAUGAUGUGCUGGUGUGCAUUUAUAGGGGCCACGUGUCUCGACNNNNNNNNNNNNNNNNNNNNNNNNNNNNNNNNNNNNNNNNNNNNNNNNNNNNNNNNNNNNNNNNNNNNNNNNNNNNNNNNNNNNNNNNNNNNNNNNNNNNNNNNNNNNNNNNNNNNNNNNNNNNNNNNNNNNNNNNNNNNNNNNNNNNNNNNNNNNNNNNNNNNNNNNNNNNNNNNNNNNNNNNNNNNNNNNNNNNNNNNNNNNNNNNNNNNNNNNNNNNNNNNNNNNNNNNNNNNNNNNNNNNNNNNNNNNNNNNNNNNNNNNNNNNNNNNNNNNNNNNNNNNNNNNNNNNNNNNNNNNNNNNNNNNNNNNNNNNNNNNNNNNNNNNNNNNNNNNNNNNNNNNNNNNNNNNNNNNNNNNNNNNNNNNNNNNNNNNNCGCUCUUUUUUUGUAACAUUGAUUUGACGUUGGAGACCAAAGUCGAUCAUCUCUAAUUUUACAAGGACUAAAUUUAAACAAAAAAACUUAUAAGAACUAAAAUAAAAAAGUGAUAUAUUUGCAGAGACCAAAGACAUAUUUAAACCUAAAUUAUAUAUAUCUUAAGAAUUUUUUUAAUUUUUAUAUUUAAGUUUAGUUGCAAUUUUAGUCCAUUUAUUUUAACUGCAUUACGAAAAUAGUAUUUCUAUUUUAUUUUUCCUUAAUUUUGGUCUCCAAAUAGAAUUUUGGUUUAAAACUUGAUGAAAUGACAUUUUUUAAUGAUGUAUCAAAAAAUCAAAUGAUUUGGACAAUUUCAUGUAGAUUAAUUACAUUUUAUUAUUAUUUCAAAUUUUUAAAACACAUUUCUUAUUUUAUUACAUCAUUUAAUUAUAUAAAAAAAAACAUAAAAAAGGACGAUUUUAAUCCUUAAUCCCUUGAGAACUCAAGAAGAUGAGUUCAGAAACCCUAGUCCUAAUUCAAUUCCAUCGUGUUCUUCUCCUCUUCACGAUUCAUCUUGUUUCUUAUCCUCUUCAUUCAAUUUCUCAUUCAUCAUGUUAUUUUGGAUCUUUUCUCAUAAAAUUAUGUUUUUGAUUUUCUUUCUAAUGGCGAGUAAAUAUAUAGCUGAUUUCGCUUUCAAUCUAUCUUCAUCAACGAAAGAAGAUACAAAGUUAUGUGUUAGGUUUGUGAUUUUAGGGUUUAUGUAUUUGUUAUUGCCUAUAUUUAAACAUUGAGAUCAAUAUGUCUCUGUUUAUGUAUUAGUAAUAUUUUAUUUUUCUUUUCUUUUUCGUUUUUCUUUUUCGUUUUGCUUUGUUGUUAACAGUAUUAAACUUUAUAUUCAAAAAAUUUGUCUAAAUUUUAGUGCUAAGAUUAUUAAACUCUAUUUUUUAUUUUAUAGUUAUGCCUUUUCAGUAAUGUGGUCAACAUGAAUUAGCUUAAGCGGAAUAUGAACCAGUUCAUGUUGAAGCUAAACAAGGAGCUGAUGAGAAUUAUGUGAGUGAAGAUAUGAGAAUUAUGAACAGGGAGCUGGUGAGGAUUAUGCAAGUGAAGAAGACGAGGAUUAUGUUGUUAAUUCAAAUGAUGAAGAUGGUGAUAUGGGUGAGUUCCAUGAGGGUGAAGAUUCUGACUGGUUUUAUGAAAUACCAACUAAGAUAUUUCUUAACAUUGUAAGAAAUGAAAAUUCAUUUGAAAGACUCGCAAACCCAGGGCCUAGUUCUGCAACUAAUUUUGAAGAAAAUUAUGUGAAUUCUGAUUAUUUGGAUAAUCCACCAGGAAGCGAUGUUGAUGAAAAGGAUGUCAGGAAAUUUUCUAACUUUAACCAACCUAAAAAUAGUGAUGAAGUAAGGUUUAAGGUAGACAUGAAAUUCAAUACAAAAGCGAUGAUUAAGAAUGCUAUUAAAAACUUUGCGACGGAGACUGAGAAAAACUUGUAUUUCAACAAGAAUGAUGGAGAUAGAUAAUGAUUGUUAGGUGUGAGCUAGAAUUUCUAUUUCACAUGAGGAUUAGUAAGAGAACUUCAAACAAAUAUUGUCAAUUAGUGAGUUUCACAAAUGAUUAUACAUCAUAGGACGACAAAAAACCAACAAGCUAAGACUGAAUGACUUGCCAAGAAUUUCAUUCCUAUGUUGAUACAUACAUCUGAAAUGAAACCCAAUGAAUUGAUUGUUGAGGCACUUGAUAAAUAGGGUGCAAAGUUAUCUAUAUACCAAGCAUAUAGAGCCAAAGUAAGAGUCAUAAAAAUGAUUCAAUGUGUUUGAAGGGAGCAAUAUGCACACUUGAGAGAAUAUGUUGAUCAACUGAGGAGAUCAAAUCCAAACUCUACAAUUAUUAUUAUUAAGUGUAGUAUGUUUGAUGUUGGAUCAGUUUUAGAGAAAAUAUAUGUAAGUUUGGAGGCUUGUAAGGUUGCGUUUGCUAAUGCAUGCAUGCCUUUAAUUGAGUUAGAUGCUUGUUUCUUGAAGAGAGAAUAUGGUGGCCAGUCAAUCGUUGUAGUAGGUAAAUAUGGGAAUAAUCAGAUGAUUCCCAUUGCAUAUGCAAUUGUAUAUGCGGAAACAAGAGACUUGUGACAAUGGUUUAUGGAUAUUUUAUUAAAUGACGUCAACAAUGUUCAGUAUUGGCAAUAUGCAUUCAUUUCAUAUCAGCAAAAAGUACGUAUACCCUCAUUUAUGAAUAUUUUUUAUAUUUGUCGAUUUAUUUAAUUUUUUUGUGAAUUGAUUUAUAUGUAACGACUUUUUAUGAAUUGAUUUUAGGGGCUGGUACUUGUUAUUGCCAACAUUAGGGCUCAUGCAGAACACAUUAUAUGUUAAACACUUAUAUGAAAAGUGGGAGAAAAAAAGUAUCCUAGAGGAUAAAUGAAAGAACUUGUUUGGUUGGUAACAAGGGCUAUGGUGGCCCAUGAUUGGAAAGAAAGCAAUGCAAAAAACUAAGAUGCUUGGAAAAACAUGAUGCAACUCCCACAUUCUAUGUGCACUAAGUCUGCAUUUCGCACUGAUACGCAAUGUGACCUCCAAGUAAAAAACAUGUGUGAAGCAAAGACAACAAGCGUUGGAGGAGAUGAGGGAGAAACACCAACUAUUUUAUCUUAGGGUUCACAAGCUCCACAAACUAAAGAUUCACAAAUCAAUUAAUGGAACCAAAUUUGUGAAAUGUAUUUUGAUUAUUAUGAAUGUGUAAUGAUGGAACGAGACUUGAGGAUUUUAUUUUGUAAUGUAAUAGUAUGUAUGACCUCUUUUUUGAACCAAAACUGUAUUUGGUAAUGUCUUUGUUUGUAAUGGUUUUUCUGGGUGUAACAUAAGUUAUGCUUAUUUUGUUCUAGUUGAAAUGUGAAAUUCUAGUUGUAGUAAAAUUUGGUUGCAUGAAAUUAUUUGUUUAUACAGAAGAAACAAUUAACUCUACACAAAUGCUAUAACAUGAAACUAUAAGUUCUGUUUAUUUUGUUUUGCUUGUUUGAGCAAAGUGCAUUAAUAUUAGACAACUACAUUAUAUCUUGAAUGAUAUCAAACUAGUGCAAAUUUGUUUUAUCAAAUUGCAUUAAUAGAAUGAUACCAAACUGAAUUAUUAAGAUGCAAAAAUAGACAAUGACACCAAUUUGAUUUCACAAUAACAACCUUAUUCAUUCACAUUUGAUUUGAUUAGACCAUUGCAUUACAAUUUAAACCCUAAACACUAUAUUAUGCAAUUACAUUACACAAUGACAUUACAAUUUAAACCAUAAACACUAUAUUAUGCAAUUACAUUACACUUUACAUAAUUACACAAUGAAAUUACAAUUUAAACCCUAAACACUAUAUUAUAGUAUAACUAUUAAACCCUAAAUCACACCAUUAGAAAAACCACAUCAGUAGACAACACCCUAAAUUGCAUCAUUAAAUAUUAUCUUUAAUCCAAUCCUUUUAAUUACUUCAACAUUACAAUAAGCAAAAGAACAAUGAUCAAUAGCCAUGAAAGUACCAGAAAACCCUCAAUUAGUUUCAUCUUCAACUUCAGUUCAUUAUACUUCUUUGUCACAUUGUCUUUCUUCUUGAACUCAUCAAUCAACCUUUUCAUAAGAGAGAGAAAAUAAUUUAUUUUGCUUGUUUUGUCAUUGGCUAAUCAAACCAAUCAAAUAAAUUGUAAGCUUUUUUUACCUUGUAACUAAAACUACAUAGCAAAAAAAAAAAAGGAUUGAAUCUUCAUUCAAUGAUUUUUCAUAAUCUUAAAACAAUAGAGCAAAAAAAAUCAAGAAUCUUGACGAAAUGUUUUUCCAAAAUAUUGACAAAUAGUUGUCUUUUAAAAACCCCAACCAUGAAAUCUUCAGCCUAAAUUUUCAGUGGUUCAAGAAGUACACAAAGGAGAUUUAAGUCCACAUAAACAUUAUUUCCUUCUAAUUCUCAAAUGAGAAUUGUUGCUUGUAACUGAAUAUGAACGGGAAAACAUUUUUUUUUCCUCAAAAAAUACAAAAUUGAGGAAGAAGAAACGAACCACAACCAAUGCACAACAAGAACCAUAAACGAAGCAAAAUCGUCUAUGGUUCAAUUGGUAGUGGGAAUGAAUGGAUGUCGGUACUUAUCUCUCAAGAGAAAAAUAAAAUGGAGGGAACUAUUUUCGUUAUCCAACUAAAAUAGGAGGACCAACCAAAACUGCAAUUAAGUCUUAUAUUUAUCAAUGAUAAAUAUUUGUCUUGUGUUUUUUUAAUAUCUAUCAAUGACAAAUAUUUGUCUGAUGAUUUUUACGUACGAAUGACAAAAUAUUUGUCAUGUACUUUUUUGCAUUAGUUAUAAAUAUGUAUCUCACAUUUUUUUUAUAUCAAUGACAAAUAUUUAUCAUGUGUUGUUAUAUAUAAGUGACAAAUAUAUAUCUCAUAAUUUUUUAUAUUUAUGGUUGUCAAAUAGAGUGUUCACAUCCAAAUCGAUAAAAAAACGAAAACUCCUCAAAAUUUAAUUUUAUUCGAUGUAUUUGAAUAUUUACUGAUUGUUCGCGUUAAUUCACAUUAUUGUUGCUUUAAUGCAUCAGCUAGUAUUUCGACUUUACAGAACAAUUAUGUUCACUUACAGAAUUUUUUUUUUUUACAGUUUUAUACUUCAUUUUUAGUUUUUUUCAAUUUGUUUAAUUGCAUAUCUUUUUGCAGUUUUGCUGCAGUUUUUUUUCUUCCAGUUUUAAGUAUUAAUUACUUUCUUCUUCCCUAUUAAUGAUCCAAUAAAAAAGUUAAUUAGGACAAUAAUGUAAUUUUGUUAGUGCUUAUUAUUCUUGAAUUGAUAGUUCAUAUGUUUUGACUAUGCUAUAUUUCUUUUUUAUGUUCACCUUAAAAAUAUAAGGUGAGAGGAUGAUGUUAUUGUUUAAAGUAAUAACUACAUUUUAAUUUAUUGAGCAUCUACAGAGAAAAAAAUUAUAUUUGAGGAAUCAAUAUUUGUCUUUUAUCACAAAGACCAAACCAUCAGAAUUAACUAUUUUAUUUUUAUUUUUUUGUUGCCUCACUUUAAUCUCUUCAUUCUAUUUCCCUUCAUUAAAUUAUAAAUGUUAUGCAUGAAAGUGUUUUCUAUGGGCACUUUAUAUAGCUCCAUCUAAUUUGUCUUUCUUUUUAUACGUGAAUGUCAAUAGUUAUGAUUUCUGGCCUUCCCGAAAAAAUUCCAUUAUUGCAUUAAAUGUCUGUAUCAAACCAACCAUCAGCAUCCAUAGUAAAGAUUUGGGUAUGUCUAUCCAAGGACAAGCUUCCCUUUGCUUCAGAGGAAUCAAGAACAAUAUGAAAAACUCUUUAUGAAUGAUGUUUGCAUAUGUCAUAAGAAGGAUUAAUUUGUGGUAGAGUGUCGCCAAUUCCUAAAAUGAUCAAAGGAAAAACUAGAAUGACGAAUCACCCAAAUGAAUAAUUGAAUAUUAAUCUUUGUAGGAAAAAUAAAUAAAUAAAACUAUAUGUGAUUCCUUAUUUGAAGCUUAAUAUCAAGAGGAAGUUGAGUAUGAGACGAUUAAAAUACUAAAACAACUCUCAUUUAAGUUACUUGUUGUGUCUACUACUUUUUUUUAAUGAUAUAUGUUUUGAUAAUUUUCCUUUUGAAUAUAAAAAUUUAUCUUUUAAAAAGAAAAUAAAAGAAAUUUAAAAUCCAGUUUCAAACUCCAAAUCUAAUCAAAGUUUAAAAUUGAAAAGCUAAUUUUUUUUUUUUAAUUUAGAUUCUAUGACUUAAAGUAAAACUUUCAACGCAACAAGAGACAUAACACUGGAAGAAAAAAAGAUCAGAAAUGUAACGUGAAAGUAGUGUCAUUAAAAAAAAAAACAAUGUUAAGUUUGAAGGGAGGUGUUUGACAUGGAAAAAUAUAGAAGGUUAGUGUAUAGUUAAAAAUUAGAGGGAUGUUUGUAUUUUUUAAGAAGAAGUCAUGGGAAGUGAAUCUAAAUUUCCUUAAAUUUAAAUAUAUUAUCAAACACAAACUUAUGCAGACUAUUUGAGUUUAAUAGGACUGGUCCAUUACUGGAUCAGUCUAUUGCAAGAUCGAGCUAGAAAGCUUUCUUAUAACUUAGACUCAAAAUUUAAUGAGAGUGGUUUAUCCCACAGUAGUCUGCCAAAACCCUCCAAAAAACCUCUCACUGGAUCCUAUGAAUUGGUUCAUAAUUUACCCGAUUCAUGCAUCUGAUAAUUAAUUUAUGUAAAAAUACCCCUACCAAGAUCUCACUAUUGUUCCAUAAUUAUGUCACUUUGACUUGUUUCGCAUUUGCACCUAGAGGUUUCACAACUUUUAUCUUCACGUCCAACUUGCAUCUAGCUCUCACAUUUCUUGAAAUAUGAUACCGACACAGUAAAGUAGUAAAAGUUAGAAAAAUCUUUGCAAAUCAUUCAUCAAUGCAAUAUCUCUAUUAGUCACAAUCAUCUUGGGAAUCUUAUCUCCAAACUUCAACAAAUUACGACACAUCUCUAAAACUCAAGUGAAAUUAUCCUCGUUUUCAAACUUGAGAAAAACAAGCUCAAUUGAAUGUCACACCAACAAUCUCAAACAAUUGGAUUUCAUACUGAUUAUCCUCCUGUUGAAGUCACACCAACGAUCUCAAACAAUGACAUUUCAUACUGAUUUAUUUUAUAAGUCGAGUCCAUCAACAACAUUGUUGGAAAAGUGUUAAACAACUUGAAUGAUUUAGAAUGAGACCAAUAAAUUUCAUAGAUUUUAGUUUCAGACUUAUUAAUCAUUCUAUAUCUAUAUACAUAUUUGUGAUCAUCCAAACAUUUCACACGUAUGUUGCACUUCUGAUAUUGGACUUCUUAUUGUCUUAUAGGCAACCAUUGGAGAUGAGCAAUUUUCAAAUUUAAUCUGAAAGCCAUAUUUGUCAAACUUUCUGGGUUGGUUCUUUAGAGUUAGUCCAUUUGAAGGGAUAGAUUGGGUAAUUUUGUCAUUUCUGGUAAAAAUUAAUAAAUUUGCAAUAACAAUAGAACCGGUAAUAAAUAAUCUAAAUAAUCUAAUGACGUGUCACUUAGUCGAUGGCUGAAAAUCUGCCACAAGCCAUAUCGUGCACAUUGUCUCUGCCGUGCAAAAAUAGAAUGGAUUUGGAUAAUAAUAAUUCGGAAAAAAUAUAUCCUCUCAUCUCUAUUCUGUGACGACAGAAGCUGAAGCUGAAGCCUGACUAGUGAGAAGCGUCUCUCGUGCACGAAGCUUCUCAUCCAUGGCGAAGACACUCAUUUCAUCUCCAUCGUUCAUCGCCACGCCGCUUCCUUCACUUCACCGCAAUUUCUCACCUCAUCGCACUAGGCUAGUCACAAAGGUUCACUUCAGCUUCCACCAACUUCCCCCAAUUCAAUCCAUAAGUCAUUCCGUUGACUUUGCCGGAAUCGUUUCAAGGGCUGAAGGUCUUCUUUACACGCUCGCCGACGCUACUGUUGCGGCGGAUGCUGCGAAUUCCGCUGAUGCUUCUGUGCAGAAGAACGGAGGUUGGUUCGGCUUCAU
rnacentral:lncRNA from 1 species